rnacentral:rRNA from 1 species
GGCGGACGGGUGAGUAACACGUGGGCAACCUGCCUAUAAGACUGGGAUAACUUCGGGAAACCGGAGCUAAUACCGGAUACGUUCUUUUCUCGCAUGAGAGAAGAUGGAAAGACGGUUUACGCUGUCACUUAUAGAUGGGCCCGCGGCGCAUUAGCUAGUUGGUGAGGUAAUGGCUCACCAAGGCGACGAUGCGUAGCCGACCUGAGAGGGUGAUCGGCCACACUGGGACCGAGACACGGCCCAGACUCCUACGGGAGGCAGCAGUAGGGAAUCUUCCGCAAUGGACGAAAGUCUGACGGAGCAACGCCGCGUGAACGAAGAAGGCCUUCGGGUCGUAAAGUUCUGUUGUUAGGGAAGAACAAGUACCAGAGUAACUGCUGGUACCUUGACGGUACCUAACCAGAAAGCCACGGCUAACUACGUGCCAGCAGCCGCGGUAAUACGUAGGUGGCAAGCGUUGUCCGGAAUUAUUGGGCGUAAAGCGCGCGCAGGUGGUUCCUUAAGUCUGAUGUGAAAGCCCACGGCUCAACCGUGGAGGGUCAUUGGAAACUGGGGAACUUGAGUGCAGAAGAGGAAAGUGGAAUUCCAAGUGUAGCGGUGAAAUGCGUAGAGAUUUGGAGGAACACCAGUGGCGAAGGCGACU